rnacentral:rRNA from 1 species
CCUACGGGAGGCAGCAGUCGAGAAUAUUUCACAAUGGGGGCAAGCCUGAUGGUGCGACGCCGCGUGAGGGAAUGAAGCUUUUGGGUUUGAAACUUCUUGUACUGGGGGAGCACAGUAGACAGUACGCUGAACACAAGCCACGGCUAACUACGUGCCAGCAACCGCGGUAAUACGUAGGUGGCAAGCGUUGUCCGGAUUUACUGGGUGGAAAGGGCGUGUAGCCGGGAAGGUAAGUCAGAUGUGAAAUCCGGAGGCUCAACCCCCGAAUUGCACGUGAAACUGUUUAUCUUGAGUAAUGGAGAGGCAAACGGAAUUCCUGGUGUAGCAGUGAAAUGCGUAGAUAUAAGGAGGAACACUAGUGGCGAAGGCGGUCUGCUGGACAGCAACUGACGGUGAGGCGCGAAAGCGAGGGGAGCAAAAAGGAUUAGAUACCCCAGUAGUC